AAGUCGUAACAAGGUUUCCGUAGGUGAACCUGCGGAAGGAUCAUUACAGAGUUCAUGCCCUUACGGGUAGAUCUCCCACCCUUGAAUACAUUACCUUUGUUGCUUUGGCGGGCCGCACCGUCCACCGGCUUUGGCUGGUGAGUUCCCGCCAGAGGACCCUAAACUCUGAAUUAAAGUGUCGUCUGAGUACUAUAUAAUAGUUAAAACUUUCAACAACGGAUCUCUUGGUUCUG
rnacentral:misc_RNA from 1 species